UAGGGAAUCUUCGGCAAUGGGGGCAACCCUGACCGAGCAACGCCGCGUGAGUGAAGAAGGUUUUCGGAUCGCAAAGCUCUGUUGUAAGAGAAGAACGAGUGUGAGAGUGGAAAGUUCACACUGUGACGGUAUCUUACCAGAAAGGGACGGCUAACUACGUGCCAGCAGCCGCGGUAAUACGUAGGUCCCAAGCGUUGUCCGGAUUUAUUGGGCGUAAAGCGAGCGCAGGCGGUUCUGUAAGUCUGGAGUAAAAGGCAGUGGCUCAACCAUUGUGUGCUCUGGAAACUGCAGGACUUGAGUGCAGAAGGGGAGAGUGGAAUUCCAUGUGUAGCGGUGAAAUGCGUAGAUAUAUGGAGGAACACCGGUGGCGAAAGCGGCUCUCUGGUCUGUAACUGACCCUGAGGCUCGAAAGCGUGGGGAGCAAACAGGAUUAGAUACCCUGGUA
rnacentral:rRNA from 1 species